rnacentral:tmRNA from 1 species
GUACUGGUUUCGACGGGGAUUUUGAAGUUCGGGAAGCCAUCCGUGGAAGCCGUGACCACGUAAAAACAUGACAAUUAAAUUUAAACGCUGAUAACGAUAGUUACGCGCUUGCUGCUUAACUAAAGCAGCUGUCGGGCAGGAGGGUUCCCGUGCCUUCCUGUUUCGGCAUUAUCCAAGACGGGGAACUGUCAUGCCAAAGCUUUGAGGUAUGGCGGAUUUUAUGAAGCUACUGAAACCGUAAGCCUGUCAGGCGGCAUACGGCAGAGGGAAUGUCAAUAGACUGACUGUGAUGGAAGAAGCCGGACAGAGAGGUUUUCGGACGCGGGUUCGAUUCCCGCCUGGUCCACU